UUAAGUUAUUAAGGGCGCACGGUGGAUGCCUUGGCACUAGAAGCCGAUGAAGGACGUUACUAACGACGAUAUGCUUUGGGUAGCUGUAAGUAAGCGUUGAUCCAGAGAUUUCCGAAUGGGGGAACCCAGCAUGAGUUAUGUCAUGUUAUCGACAUGUGAAUUCAUAGCAUGUCAGAAGGCAGACCCGGAGAACUGAAACAUCUUAGUACCCGGAGGAAGAGAAAGAAAAAUCGAUUCCCUGAGUAGCGGCGAGCGAAACGGGAAGAGCCCAAACCAACAAGCUUGCUUGUUGGGGUUGUAGGACACUCUAUACGGAGUUACAAAAGAACAUGUUAGACGAAUCAUCUGGAAAGAUGAAUCAAAGAAGGUAAUAAUCCUGUAGUCGAAAACAUAUUCUCUCUUGAGUGGAUCCUGAGUACGACGGAGCACGUGAAAUUCCGUCGGAAUCUGGGAGGACCAUCUCCUAAGGCUAAAUACUCUCUAGUGACCGAUAGUGAACCAGUACCGUGAGGGAAAGGUGAAAAGUACCCCGGAAGGGGAGUGAAAGAGAACUUGAAACCGUGUGCUUACAAGUAGUCAGAGCCCGUUAAUGGGUGAUGGCGUGCCUUUUGUAGAAUGAACCGGCGAGUUACGAUCUGAUGCAAGGUUAAGCAGCAAAUGUGGAGCCGCAGCGAAAGCGAGUCUGAAUAGGGCGUUGAGUAUUUGGUCGUAGACCCGAAACCAGGUGAUCUACCCUUGGUCAGGUUGAAGUUCAGGUAACACUGAAUGGAGGACCGAACCGACUUACGUUGAAAAGUGAGCGGAUGAACUGAGGGUAGCGGAGAAAUUCCAAUCGAACUUGGAGAUAGCUGGUUCUCUCCGAAAUAGCUUUAGGGCUAGCCUCAAGUGAUGAUUAUUGGAGGUAGAGCACUGUUUGGACGAGGGGCCCCUCUCGGGUUACCGAAUUCAGACAAACUCCGAAUGCCAAUUAAUUUAACUUGGGAGUCAGAACAUGGGUGAUAAGGUCCGUGUUCGAAAGGGAAACAGCCCAGACCACCAGCUAAGGUCCCAAAAUAUAUGUUAAGUGGAAAAGGAUGUGGCGUUGCCCAGACAACUAGGAUGUUGGCUUAGAAGCAGCCAUCAUUUAAAGAGUGCGUAAUAGCUCACUAGUCGAGUGACACUGCGCCGAAAAGGUACCGGGGCUAAACAUAUUACCGAAGCUGUGGACUACACCAUUAGGUGUAGUGGUAGGAGAGCGUUCUAAGGGCGUUGAAGGUCGAUCGUGAGGACGGCUGGAGCGCUUAGAAGUGAGAAUGCCGGUAUGAGUAGCGAAAGACAGGUGAGAAUCCUGUCCACCGUAUGACUAAGGUUUCCUGGGGAAGGCUCGUCCGCCCAGGGUUAGUCGGGACCUAAGCCGAGGCCGAUAGGCGUAGGCGAUGGACAACAGGUUGAUAUUCCUGUACCAGUUGUUUUUGUUUGAACAAUGGAGGGACGCAGUAGGCUAAGGAAUGCAUGCGAUUGGAAGUGCAUGUCCAAGCAAUGAGUCUUGAGUAGAGUUAAAUGCUUUACUCUUUAAGGACAAGUUGUGACGGGGAGCGAAAUAAUAGUAGCGAAGUUCCUGAUGUCACACUGCCAAGAAAAGCUUCUAGUGAGAAAACAACUGCCCGUACCGUAAACCGACACAGGUAGUCGAGGAGAGUAUCCUAAGGUGAGCGAGCGAACUCUCGUUAAGGAACUCGGCAAAAUGACCCCGUAACUUCGGGAGAAGGGGUGCUGACUUCGGUCAGCCGCAGUGAAUAGGCCCAAGCGACUGUUUAUCAAAAACACAGGUCUCUGCAAAAUCGUAAGAUGAAGUAUAGGGGCUGACGCCUGCCCGGUGCUGGAAGGUUAAGAGGAUGGGUUAGCUUCGGCGAAGCUCAGAAUUGAAGCCCCAGUAAACGGCGGCCGUAACUAUAACGGUCCUAAGGUAGCGAAAUUCCUUGUCGGGUAAGUUCCGACCCGCACGAAAGGCGUAACGAUUUGGGCACUGUCUCAACGAGAGACUCGGUGAAAUUUUAGUACCUGUGAAGAUGCAGGUUACCCGCGACAGGACGGAAAGACCCCAUGGAGCUUUACUGUAGUUUGAUAUUGAGUGUUUGUACCACAUGUACAGGAUAGGUAGGAGCCGAUGAGACCGGAACGCUAGUUUCGGAGGAGGCGCUGGUGGGAUACUACCCUUGUGUUAUGAACCCUCUAACCCGCACCACUAAUCGUGGUGGGAGACAGUGUCAGAUGGGCAGUUUGACUGGGGCGGUCGCCUCCUAAAAGGUAACGGAGGCGCCCAAAGGUUCCCUCAGAAUGGUUGGAAAUCAUUCGAAGAGUGUAAAGGCAGAAGGGAGCUUGACUGCGAGACCUACAAGUCGAGCAGGGACGAAAGUCGGGCUUAGUGAUCCGGUGGUUCCGCAUGGAAGGGCCAUCGCUCAACGGAUAAAAGCUACCCUGGGGAUAACAGGCUUAUCUCCCCCAAGAGUCCACAUCGACGGGGAGGUUUGGCACCUCGAUGUCGGCUCGUCGCAUCCUGGGGCUGUAGUCGGUCCCAAGGGUUGGGCUGUUCGCCCAUUAAAGCGGUACGCGAGCUGGGUUCAGAACGUCGUGAGACAGUUCGGUCCCUAUCCGUCGUGGGCGUAGGAAAUUUGAGAGGAGCUGUCCUUAGUACGAGAGGACCGGGAUGGACAUACCUCUGGUGUACCAGUUGUCGUGCCAACGGCAUAGCUGGGUAGCUAUGUAUGGACGGGAUAAGUGCUGAAAGCAUCUAAGCAUGAAGCCCCCCUCAAGAUGAGAUUUCCCAACUUCGGUUAUAAGAUCCCUCGAAGAUGACGAGGUUAAUAGGUUCGAGGUGGAAGCGUGGUGACACGUGGAGCUGACGAAUACUAAUCGAUCGAAGACUUAAUCAA
rnacentral:rRNA from 1 species